AACGAACGCUGGCGGCAGGCUUAACACAUGCAAGUCGAACGGUUGUAGCAAUACAGCAGUGGCGCACGGGUGAGUAACGCGUGGGAAUAUACCGAGAAGUGGGGAAUAACUCCGGGAAACUGGAGAUAAUACCGCAUACGCCCGAGAGGGGAAAGAUUUAUCGCUUUUCGAUUAGCCCGCGUGAGACUAGGUAGUUGGUGGGGUAAUGGCCUACCAAGCCGACGAUCUCUAGCUGGUCUGAGAGGAUGAUCAGCCACACUGGAACUGAGACACGGUCCAGACUCCUACGGGAGGCAGCAGUGGGGAAUAUUGGACAAUGGGCGAAAGCCUGAUCCAGCCAUGCCGCGUGAAUGAUGAAGGCCUUAGGGUUGUAAAGUUCUUACGCCGAUGAAGAUAAUGACGGUAGUCGGAGAAGAAGCCCCGGCUAACUUCGUGCCAGCCGCCGCCGUAA
rnacentral:rRNA from 1 species